CCAGACUCCUACGGGAGGCAGCAGUGAGGAAUAUUGGUCAAUGGCCGCAGGGCUGAACCAGCCAAGUCGCGUGAGGGAUGACGGUCCUAUGGAUUGUAAACCUCUUUUGUCAGGGAGCAAAGGGCGCCACGUGUGGCGUUUUGCGAGUACCUGAAGAAAAAGCAUCGGCUAACUCCGUGCCAGCAGCCGCGGUAAUACGGAGGAUGCGAGCGUUAUCCGGAUUUAUUGGGUUUAAAGGGUGCGCAGGCGGAAUGUCAAGUCAGCGGUAAAAUUUCGGGGCUCAACCCCGUCGUGCCGUUGGAACUGGGGAUCUAGAGGGUGCGAGAGGUAUGCGGAAUGCGUGGGGGAGCGGGGAAAUGCAUAGAUAUCACGCAGAACCCCGAUUGCGAAGGCAGCAUACCGGCGCUCAACUGACGCUGAAGCACGAAGGCGGGGGUAUCGAACAGGAUUAGAUACCCCAGUAC
rnacentral:rRNA from 1 species